rnacentral:pre_miRNA from 1 species
CUAGUACUCCCUCCAUCUGAAAAUUCUUGUCUUAGAUUUGUCUAGGUAAGAAUCUAUCUAGUCUUGUUUUGGUAUUUAGAUGCAUCCAUUUAUAGACAAAUCUAUGACAAGAAUUUUAGGACGGAGGGAGUAGUUG